AAUGGGGGAUAACGUAGCGAAAGUUACGCUAAUACCGCAUAUGCCCUGAGGGGAAAAGUGGGGGAUCGCAAGACCUCACGUUUUCGGAGCGGCCGAUAUCGGAUUAGCUAGUAGGUUGGGUAAAGGCUGACCUAGGCGACGAUCCGUAGCUGGUCUGAGAGGACGACCAGCCACACUGGGACUGAGACACGGCCCAGACUCCUACGGGAGGCAGCAGUGGGGAAUUUUGGACAAUGGGGGCAACCCUGAUCCAGCCAUGCCGCGUGAGUGAAGAAGGCCUUCGGGUUGUAAAGCUCUUUCGGACAGAAAGAAAUCGCCAUUCCUAAUACGAGUGGUGGAUGACGGUACUGUAAGAAGAAGCACCGGCUAACUACGUGCCAGCAGCCGCGGUAAUACGUAGGGUGCGAGCGUUAAUCGGAAUUACUGGGCGUAAAGCGUGCGCAGGCGGUUUCGUAAGACAGACGUGAAAUCCCCGGGCUUAACCUGGGAACUGCGUUUGUGACUGCGAGGCUAGAGUGUAGCAGAGGGGGGUAGAAUUCCA
rnacentral:rRNA from 1 species